rnacentral:lncRNA from 1 species
AGAUAAAAACCCCAAGUGACAGAUAGCCAAGUGCUGAAAAUAAGUACAGAGCAUACUAAGCGUGUUCAACUACGGUAUCUUACAUCUUCAAACGUGACUGAUGAAAAAAAUUGGACCCAAAAAAAGAUUCUCUUAAUUUCAAAGUCAACAAAAUAAAAAUUGAUAAGUUCCGCUGAGAUAUAAUCCUUCAACACACUGACUGGUGAGUGCAUCUGCACACUCGUGCAUUUAAUUCUUUCCAAAAUUUACAGCAUAAAAGGGUCUCAAGGAAGUAUCAUCACUGUCAGUGUGCGUAACAAAGAGUACGUGGAAUAGAAAAUAUAAAUAAAAACUAAAGGAGAUGGAUAAGAGAAUAACCUUCUCUGGACACUUAAACGGAAUUUCCGGCAAUAUGGCUAGUCUGUGAGUGAGAUGCGGUGAUCCGGACGAGGGAGAGAGAAGAGACAGUAGGACGAAUAAGUGUUGUCGAAAGGAGAAUCAGGGCAGCUAUUUAGCUGUAUUGGGGAGAAGUGACGCAGGAAAGGCCGACGGAGGGAUAUUGACGGAGAAGGAAGGUUGAAAUUCAAUUGGGAACGAUGGUGGUCAUUGAAUAAUGAUUUUCUUUUUCUUCCGCCUCCUGACGUGUAAAUGGAGUAAAUUGUCC